rnacentral:rRNA from 1 species
ACGUCUUUUUCUCGCUUUCUCCUGAAUUACUGGGCGUAAAGCGCACGCAGGCGGUCUUUUGGGUCUGACGUGAAAGCUCCUGGCUUAACUGGGAGAGGUCGUUCAAUACUACUGGACUAGAGAGUGGUAGAGGGAGGUGGAAUUCCGGGUGUAGUGGUGAAAUGCGUAGAUAUCCGGAGGAACACCAGUGGCGAAAGCGGCCUCCUGGACCAUUUCUGACGCUCAGACGCGAAAGCUAGGGUAGCGAACGG